rnacentral:ncRNA from 1 species
GGUUGGGCAGAUGUUCAUCAUGUAUUGAUAUCUGUUUUCAAGAUUUGUAGCUUAGGGUGGAGGCUU